rnacentral:rRNA from 1 species
CCUACGGGAGGCAGCAGUGAGGAAUAUUGGUCAAUGGGCGGAAGCCUGAACCAGCCAAGUAGCGUGCAGGAUGACGGCCCUACGGGUUGUAAACUGCUUUUAUACGGGAAUAACGCGCCUUACGUGUAGGGCUUUGCAUGUACCGUAUGAAUAAGGACCGGCUAAUUCCGUGCCAGCAGCCGCGGUACUACGGAAGGUCCGGGCGUUAUCCGGAUUUAAUGGGUUUAAAGGGAGCGUAGGCCGCAUGUCAAGCGUGCUGUGAAAUGUCCGGGCUCAACCCGGGCCUUGCAGCGCGAACUGGCGUGCUUGAGUCCGCGGAAAGCAGGCGGAAUUCGUCGUGUAGCGGUGAAAUGCUUAGAUAUGACGAAGAACCCCGAUUGCGAAGGCAGCUUGCUGCAGCGGAACUGACGCUGAUGCUCGAAAGCGCGGGUAUCGAACAGGAUUAGAUACCCCAGUAGUC